rnacentral:rRNA from 1 species
GAGUUUGAUCCUGGCUCAGGACGAACGCUGGCGUUAUGCUUAACACAUGCAAGUCGAACGAGACGAAGGUGCUUGCACCUUUUGAAAGUGGCGAACGGGUGAGUAACGCGUGGGUAACCUACCCCUUGGAAAGGAAUAGCCCCGGGAAACUGGGUGUAAUACCUUAUAAGAUACAGUUGUCGCAUGGCAGUUGUAUUAAACGCUCCGGCGCCAUAGGAUGGACCCGCGUCCCAUUAGCUAGUUGGUGAGAUAACAGCUCACCAAGGCGACGAUGGGUAACCGGUCUGAGAGGGCGAACGGUCACACUGGAACUGAGACAC